UUGUCCGGAUUUAUUGGGCGUAAAGAGCUCGUAGGCGGCUUGUCAAGUCGGGUGUGAAACCUCCAGGCUCAACCUGGAGACGCCACUCGAGACUGUCAUGGCUAGAGUCCGGUAGGGGAUCACGGAAUUCCUGGUGUAGCGGUGAAAUGCGCAGAUAUCAGGAGGAACACCGAUGGCGAAGGCAGGUCUCUGGGCCACUACUGACGCUGAGAAGCGAAAGCAUGGGGAGCGAACAGG
rnacentral:rRNA from 1 species